AACCAAAGUGUUGAGCCUAGUUCAGGGCUGACUUCCCUGUUCUGGUAAUUGAACUUUGGGACAGCAAGACAUGGCUAGGGGAGCAGAUGGGCUGGUAGGCAAUUCUCUGUUUCUGUGUCUCCCGGCCUACAGAA